rnacentral:misc_RNA from 1 species
UAUUACUGUGAAGAAAAGUUAACAGUAAUUUUAUUAUUGUGAAAUAUUUCAUGGCAACAAAUCCAAAGACGACUUCUGAAAAGAAAUUAUGGAUUGGCAACUUAGAUAAAAGGCUCACAGAGUAUAACUUACUAAAGAUUAUUCAGUGUUACGGGGAAGUUGAAAAUUUUGAAUAUUUAUUUCAUACUGUGGGUCCUCACAAGGGAGAGCCGAGGACAUAUUGUUUUGUUGAGUACAAAAAUAAAGAGAAUGCAGAGCUUGCUUUGAAAAAACUAAAUGGAAAAAUCAUCCUGUCUCAAGCUCUGCAAGUACGUUGGGCAGAGGAGACUGUGAAAUGUGGCAAGGGAGUGGAUCAUCCUACGAAAAAUGAUAAUAGUGGCCAUAGUGCACAAAAAAGACCUGGCAAUGCCUUGAGUCACAAUGAUAAAAUCAAAGCAAUUGAAGCAAAAUUAAAACUGAUGGACGACAGUGCAAGUGAAAACAAGACAAGACCUGUCGUGUUCCAUGGCAAACAUCCACUUUUGGCGCAGAGUAAACAACAGAAACAAAAAACACGGAAAACAAGACAGAAACUAAGGCGUCCUUACCCUAAUUCGAAGAAUGCCAGCUGAUCAUGCAGUAGCUAACUAAGUGAAACUACUCGUGAAACUACUCAAACUAGCUCGUAUUUUUACUGUUGAUGCAAAGCCAUUCAUGGCUCUUUUCUACGUCACAACUCAGCUUGCCCCAAGUAAAAAAAAGUGCAACUGAUUUUUUCUCCGGUGUGCGUUCGGUUAUAGUUACGUCAAUUCAAAAUCAAGAAGUUAUAACAUAGGUAGCCCAGAAACCUGUUUGUACUCAGUCUUCGAUUACAUUGUUUACGCGCGCGGUCAGCUUCUACUGUCUGUACUAAUUACUCUAUUAUAUUUUGAUACAUAGUAAUUACUACAGUAAUUAGUAGAGUAAUUAGUACAGAGAGUAGAAGCUGACCGCGCGCGUAAACAAUGUAAUCGAAGGCUGAGUACAAACAGAUUUCUGGGCUACGUAUUGUUAUAAUUGUGUGGAACUGUAGCGGCAUGUCUGCAAUCUCAUUGGUUAAGUGCUGAGCAAUUUUGGACACUGUCAACAGAACUAUUAAAACAGCAAUAAAGUGCUGAUACGUAUUUCAAACACCACUAGGAAAAUGCUACUGUGAAAACCAUAAUUGACCGAUUAUAUUACACUGUAGUUUAAGAUUCCUUUGCAACGAAGAAAAUCAAGCAAUUGUGAAUUGGGUUAGUUUGUAAACCCAUAAAAAGUGUCAACAUUAUUACUAGUGGCUGUCAUAAAGCUAAGUACCCGUAGUGCCUUGUGGCUUACGAGAUCUGUUUUGAUCUUUUUGGGGAUUAGUUUAUUUGUUUUUUAAUCAAUGAUUUUAUGUAAAUUGCGCGGACAGUGAAAUAGCAUUUGAACAGGAACUGAAAAACAGUUGAAAACGCAGUUGGAUUUACAAGUCAAAGUCUCACAGUUUUUUUGGAAUAGGCAACUCGAUUUUGGGCAGAUUUUCGGUGAAUGGAUUUGAAGCAGACCAAGAGAAAAGGAAUGCGAGACUCAGGCAGUGUUUAUAGCGAAACAUCUGCCGGUGAUUCAGAAGAGAAGUCUUUUCAACCCGGUGCGGCAGGCGUUUGGGGAAAAUACAACGGCCAGUUGUUAGAGUGCAUCGAAGAUCUUUGUAACAAACGUGAUGAACUACAGAAACAAAUUCUAGUUGAAGAGGAAGAGAAAGGGAAGAUUCAAAAUGAUUUA